rnacentral:rRNA from 1 species
UACAGAGGUCUCAAGCGUUGUUCGGAAUUACUGGGCGUAAAGGGUGCGCAGGCCGCGCGGGCAGUCAAAUGUGUAAUUCAGGGGCUCAACCCCUGCACUGCGCUUGAUACUUCCGCGCUCGAACCUUGGAGAGGAGUCUGGAAUUCUCGGUGUAGCAGUGAAAUGCGUGGAUAUUGAGAAGAACACUUAGGGCGAAAGCAAGACUCUGGACAAGUGUUGACGCUCAUGCACGAAGGCUAGGGUAGCGAACGGG